GGUAGCGUAAUCACCUGUUUCUUAAUUAGAGACCUGUAUGAACGGCACCACGAGAGUCAAACUGUCUCCUUUUUCCAGUCAGUGAAACUAAUCCCCCUGUGAAAAAGCAGGGAUUAUUCAACAAGACGAGAAGACCCUUUGGAGCUUAAGACAAAUAAAAUUUUAUGCUUCUUACUAUAUACCUCGCACCACCAAAUUUUAAUAGUCUUCAGUUGGGGCAACUACGGAGUAAAAACAACCCUCCAAGAUGCAAUGGAACUUUCCUAAACAAAAAGCCACAGCUUUAUGUAUCAAUAAACUGACAUUAUUAGACCCAAUACUUUGAUUAACGAACCAAGUUACCCUAGGGAUAACAGCGCAAUCUACUCUAAGAGUCCCUAUCGACGAGUAGGCUUACGACCUCGAUGUUGGAUCAAGGUAUCCCAGUGGCGCAACAGCUACUAAAGGUUCGUUUGUUCAACGAUUAAAACCUCACGUGAUCUGA
rnacentral:rRNA from 1 species